rnacentral:rRNA from 1 species
GACGAACGCUGGCGGCGUGCUUAACACAUGCAAGUCGAACGGAAAGGCCUCUUUCGGGGGGUACUCGAGUGGCGAACGGGUGAGUAACACGUGAGUAACCUGCCCUUGACUUUGGGAUAACUUCAGGCAACUGGGGCUAAUACCGGAUAGGAGCUCCUGCUGCAUGGUGGGGGUUGGAAAGUUUCGGCGGUUGGGGAUGGACUCGCGGCUUAUCAGCUUGUUGGUGGGGUAGUGGCUUACCAAGGCUUUGACGGGUAGCCGGCCUGAGAGGGUGACCGGCGACAUUGGGACUGAGGGGCGGCCCAGACUCCUACGGGAGGCAGCAGUGGGGAAGAUUGCACAAUGGGUGGAAGCCGGAUGCAGCAACGCCGUGUGCGGGAUGACGGCGUUCGGGUUGUAAACCGCUUUCGCUCAUGACGAAGCUUUGUGUGACGGUAGUGGGUAAAGAAGCACCGGCUAACUACGUG